CACUUUAAAAAAUCCAAAACUAUAUAUUUAAAACGGAAUUCUCUUGAGGAAAAAAAUAAAUGGAAUUCUCUUUUAGUGUUUGAUAUAUACAAAUUAAUAGGAUUGGUAAUAAUCCCCCUUGAUAUGAAUACAACAGAAAAGACUAACAAUCAGUUUAUCAAACUAUUGUACAUUUCCUCUACCAACCACCAAACAAGAAGGAAUCGAUUCAAAAGCAGAGUAACUCAUGUCACUUAGCCACUAAGGUCACCGACGUUUCCCCUCGAAGGAAUGGUAAACAAUGCUUAUCAAACACCCACAAACCAUCUCUCUAGAUAUUCACGUAUGUUUAGAUAAAAGUAUCUCUUGAUACAUGAAUAUGUAUGUCACGUGUGAAGAAUUCUUAUGCUCAGUCGACAAAUCUAGCAUUGGUCCGGUGGGACAUGAAAACCCUGACAUUAUGCUCGACUUGUCUAGAAUACUAUGCCCCAUUUAUUAUCCUUUUACAUAGUACUGUAUCAAUUACAAAAAUGGGGAUAGGACAAGAUCCUAAUUAUCAAUUCCUCGAGUCCAAAGUUAUGGGUACCACGUGAAUUAUUUUACGAAUUUUCUUU